UCAAUUUAAUUUGAUUUAUUUAAAAAUUUAUUUAAGUUUAUAUUUAAAAAUUAUUUUUUAAUAAAAGUAUUUUUUUUUUUUUAUAAAUAAAGAUAAAAUUUAGUUUAUUAUAGUUUAUUAGUAUAGAGAUAGAAUAUUUAAAUAAUUUUGAAAUAAUUAAAUUUAAAAAAGAAAAUUUAUAUUAUUGUACCUUGUGUAUCAGGGUUUAUUAAAUAAUAAUUAUUUAAAGUUAAUUUUCUCGAAUUUAAAAGAGCUAAAAAAUUAUAAAUUUUAUUGUAGAAUAAUUAUUUAUAAUAAUUUUUUAGAAAUGAAACGUUAGUCGUUUUUAAAUUUAUCUAGUUUUUUAAGAAAUGAAUUUAAUUCAAUUAUUUGUUUUUAUCGGAAUAAUUUAAUAUUUAGAUAAAAUAAAGUAAUUAAUAUUUUAAGGGAUGAGCUUUAAAAUAAAUUUUUAAAAAUUAAAAUUAAAUUUUUAAAAUUUAUAGGAAUGGAAGUAUUUAUUAAUAAUUAGUGUAUUAUAACAAAUUUUAAGUAAAAUAUAAUUUUUAUAUAAUUUUUAAUUUUUUAUUAAAAUUAUUAAUUUAAUUAAAUAGUUAAUGUAAUAAUGAUAAAAUUAGUAUAAUUUUAUGUAUAAUUAAUUUAUAUGAUAGAGGUUAAAUUAAGGAAUUCGGCAAAUAUUUUUUCCGCCUGUUUAUUAAAAACAUGUCUUUUUGAUAAUAAUUUAAAGUCUGACCUGCCCUAUGAUAUAAAAUAAGAUAUUAAAUGGCCGCGAUAAUUUGAUCGUGCAAAGGUAGCAUAAUCAUUAGUUUUUUAAUUGAGAACUGGAAUGAAAGGUCGAACGAGAAAAAAACUGUCUCAAUUUAAUUUAAAUUAAAAUUUUAUUUUUAAGUAAAAAAGCUUAGAUAUUUUUAAAAGACGAGAAGACCCUAUAGAGUUUUAUAUUUAAUAAUUUUUUUUUUAGUUUUAGUAUUUAAUUUUAGAAUUAUUUAUUAAGUAUUUGGUUGGGGUGAUUGAAAAAUUUAAUUAACUUUUUUUUAAAAUUUAACAUUUAUAUAUGAUUAAUUGAUCCAUAAUUUAUGAUUAAAAGAUUAAAUUACCUUAGGGAUAACAGCGUAAUUUUUUUUGAGAGUUCAUAUCGAAAAAAAAGUUUGCGACCUCGAUGUUGGAUUAAAAUAAACUUUUGGUGUAGGGGCUAAAAAUUAGUUAGGUCUGUUCGACCUUUAAAAUUUUACAUGAUCUGAGUUUAAACCGGUGUAAGCCAGGUUGGUUUCUAUCUUUAAAAAUAUAAUAUAUUUUAGUACGAAAGGAUCAAAUAUUUAUAAUAAUUAUUAUUAUUGGAAUAUUAUUAAAUUAAUUACUUUGGCAGAAUAGU
rnacentral:rRNA from 1 species